UGAAUGGGCAAAAACUGGAAGCAUUCCCUUUGAAAACCGGCACAAGACAGGGAUGCCCUUUCUCACCACUAAUUUUCUUUUCUCGGUGUGUUGAUAACUUAACAUUCACCAAGACUUUGACAAUGCAGAAGUCCCGAGAAAUAGGCAGGAUAAAUUCCACUUGCACCAAGGACAACCACAUUUCUACUUUAUAAUUCUUCAUUUGUAAACAUGGUAUUCCUGACCAACCCCCAAUAUGGCAUCUACAGUUGCUUCCCUAGAAGCACACAGAUGUGUUUGUACACAGCUGGCUUGUUUCCCUGCAUCAAUUAUAAUCUAUGGCUCCCAGGUACCACAGUGUUAAUAGUCAAAACAGUCAUUAACGCCAUGACCUGGUCCUGUUCAGCAGAUUUUUUAUAAUGGGAAAAAGAAUAAAAAUGUUUUCUUCACACAAGAGAUCAGCUGGAGGAGUAAAUACAAAUGAAUUAAGCAAACAAACCACCAAAUGCAAAUGAUCAGCUUCUUUUUAAAGGUGCCAGUUUCCCUUCUUCUCCCUCCCUAAACUGGUUUCUAUCUUAUUUUGGGUGUGGAUGUACAUCUAUCAAAAUGCUGGAGCUGGCACUGUCAGGAAUGUCAUCAUUUAAGUUUAAAAAGCAACACAUAAAGUUUAAUUUCCUUAAACAUGAAUUUGACCAAAAUUCUAUUUGAUCCAAAAGUUCCCAAUGCUUUCCCUCUUUCUAGGCUCUCCUCACAGUCCUGUAUCACCUUCAGCCAGAGCAGGCCUAGCAAAUCUCAGUGCACUCAGCAUGAGUUCUGAAACCUCCCUGCUUCCCUCAAAGGCCCCAAUCCUAGCUGAAAAUCCCACUCUAACACCAUUUUUCAGCUUAUGUUGUUAUUUCCAGGAAAUCUUUGUACAGCACAGAUGUCUUUUGGGAAGAGUAAGUGAUUGACAGUCACCCACACUGAAAUGAGCUUUAGUAUGUCAGAUUGAGAGGGAACAGUGACGAUCCUGAGGGAACAGAAGAUGGAGAGUUUUGCUGGAAGAGAAGAGAAGAGAAAGCUCUAAGACAAGCAAAAAUUUUGGUCACUGCAUUUUAAAUUCCACAUAAAGAAGUAGAGAG
rnacentral:lncRNA from 1 species